GAUGAACGCUGGCGGCGUGCCUAAUACAUGCAAGUCGAGCGAACAGACGAGGAGCUUGCUCCUCUGACGUUAGCGGCGGACGGGUGAGUAACACGUGGAUAACCUACCUAUAAGACUGGGAUAACUUCGGGAAACCGGAGCUAAUACCGGAUAAUAUAUUGAACCGCAUGGUUCAAUAGUGAAAGACGGUUUUGCUGUCACUUAUAGAUGGAUCCGCGCCGCAUUAGCUAGUUGGUAAGGUAACGGCUUACCAAGGCAACGACGCGUAGCCGACCUGAGAGGAUGAUCGGCCACGCUGGAACUGAGACACGGUCCAGACUCCUACGGGAGGCAGCAGUAGGGAAUCUUCCGCAAUGGGCGAAAGCCUGACGGAGCAACGCCGCGUGAGUGAUGAAGGUCUUCGGAUCGUAAAACUCUGUUAUUAGGGAAGAACAAAUGUGUAAGUACCUAUGCACGUCUUGACGGUACCUAAUCAGAAAGCCACGGCUAACUACGUG
rnacentral:rRNA from 1 species